rnacentral:rRNA from 1 species
AGUGAACGCUGGCGGUAGGCCUAACACAUGCAAGUCGAACGGCAGCACAGUGAGAGCUUGCUCUUACGGGUGGCGAGUGGCGGACGGGUGAGGAAUACAUCGGAAUCUACUUUUUCGGGGGGGAUAACGUAGGGAAACUUACGCUAAUACCGCAUACGACCUACGGGUGAAAGCAGGGGAUCUUCGGACCUUGCGCGAUUGAAUGAGCCGAUGUCGGAUUGGCUAGGUGGGGGGGUAAAGGACCACCCAGGCGACGAUUCGUAGCCGGUCCGAGAGGAUGAUUCGGCACACCUGAACUUAGACACCGUCCAGACCCCUACGGGAGGCCGCAGGUGGGAAUUUUUGGCCAUGGGCGGAAGGCUGACUCCGGCCCGCCGCGUGGGUUAAGAAGGUCUUCCGGUUGUAAAACCCUUUUGUUGGGAAAGAAAAGCAGCAGGUUAAUACCCCGCUGUUCUGACGGUACCCAAAGAAUAAGCACCGGCUAACUUCGUG